GUCAACCAUGGGAUCCUGUGUGGAUCCCCCCACCAUAUGGUGGUGCGCCCUCACACCCUACCUGUUGAUCUCUUGACCAGAUCAACGUCUUCCCAUUGUGUGGCCUAGAUUUCUCCCUAGUUAGUCAAUGUUUGACCAAGCCAUUUAGGGCUUUGGUAAUUUCGCUUGGGCCAACUCUGGUUGGGCCCAAACAUCUUUUCUCUAUUCAAACCCGCCUAUUCUAUUUCCAGCAGCACCUAGAGUUGGGCUUUUCUCUUACUUGCCC
rnacentral:lncRNA from 1 species